rnacentral:rRNA from 1 species
UACAGAGGUCCCAAGCGUUGUUCGGAUUCACUGGGCGUAAAGGGUGCGUAGGUGGUCGGGUAAGUCUGAUGUGAAAUCUCCGGGCCUAACCCGGAAACUGCAUCGGAUACUAUUCGGCUAGAGGGUUGGAGGGGGGACUGGAAUACUUGGUGUAGCAGUGAAAUGCGUAGAUAUCAAGUGGAACACCAGUGGCGAAGGCGAGUCCCUGGACAACUCCUGACACUGAGGCACGAAAGCUAGGGGAGCAAACGGG